rnacentral:lncRNA from 1 species
CCAGCUGGGAAGCCUGGCCCUACCUGGGGCAGUCCUCAUCAACUGGGAUGACCUGGGGCACCCUUCCAGGAACUCACUUCUAGCCUUGAAGAAGAGCUUGCUUCCCAGCACCACCCAUAGAAAGAAGACCAUAACAUACUGAGGAUGCCGGUGCUCCAGCCUGGAAAGUCAGAGCACCUGGCCUGAGUCACCCCUUUACCGCAAGCCCAAUAGAACUUCUUCACUACCCAGUCUCCUUGAACUAUCUCUGAUUCCUGGAUGGCUUGGUCCCUGCAGCGUGGGAACAGCCUGGAAGCUGUUGCUGACAUUCCAGAAGGUAAACCACGUUGCUUUUCCAUUCUCACUUAAGGAGCAAGUUGGAAAGGCU